rnacentral:misc_RNA from 1 species
UGUUUGUCCCUAGUUCCUGUGUUGCCUACCUUUCGAAAGGCACUCGUGUGGCUUGUUGGACUUUAUCCGUUCCAACCUCUUGUUGGGUUUGGAAGGGCUUCUGAGGUGAAAUACGUGGCUGCCCGGUUAGUCCCGCUCGUUGCUGACUAUUUUGGUGCACAUGUACUAAUCGUGUUCCUGGAUGCGGUGCAUGAAGCGAACGUGGGUUAUUUUUCCCAAUGUGUCCCUUAUCGUUUGGUUGCCUUGAAUGAUGCCUGCCUUCAUGCCUGGUUUGACACAUAUUACUGGGUCCAAAGCUUGCAUGAUGUGCAGA